CGCAUGAAUGGAUUAACGAGAUUCCCACGGUCCCUGUCUACUAUCCAGCGAAAUCACAACCAAGGGAACGGGUUUGGUGGAAUCAGCAGGGAAAGAAGAUUUAUGUUCUCGUUGAGCUCAUCUUCAAUUUGUAGCCCCCAAGGACCGGUACAUCAGUAUAUGAUGGGUCGGGUCUUCAAUUUAGACCUUAUGAUCUGUUUAAACAAUUGAACACUGUAACUCCCAAGUGUCGAGUUGCAUGCUGCAACUUGGGACUUUUUCUGAAAAUUUGUAGAUCUUCAACUAAGUAGUGUAGACCCCAUGUGUCGGGUGGUAAGCCUGCAGCGACUCGGGACUUAUGUGUGCUUUUUCUUUGAAAAGAAUAAAAACAUAUGAUGUAGCCCCCAAGUAUCGGGUCGUAUGC
rnacentral:ncRNA from 1 species